rnacentral:rRNA from 1 species
CAGUCGCCACGGUAAUACGUAGGUGGCAAGCGUUGUCCGGAAUUAUUGGGCGUAAAGGGCUCGCAGGCGGUUUCUUAAGUCUGAUGUGAAAGCCCCCGGCUCAACCGGGGAGGGUCAUUGGAAACUGGGAAACUUGAGUGCAGAAGAGGAGAGUGGAAUUCCACGUGUAGCGGUGAAAUGCGUAGAGAUGUGGAGGAACACCAGUGGCGAAGGCGACUCUCUGGUCUGUAACUGACGCUGAGGAGCGAAAGCGUGGGGAGCGAACGGGAUUAGAUACCCGUGUAGUCCCUGUCUCUUAUAA